AGCAGUGGGGAAUUUUGGACAAUGGGGGCAACCCUGAUCCAGCCAUGCCGCGUGAGUGAAGAAGGCCUUCGGGUUGUAAAGCUCUUUCAGGUGGAAAGAAAUCACUACCCCGAAUACGGGUGGUGGAUGACGGUACCAUCAGAAGAAGCACCGGCUAACUACGUGCCAGCAGCCGCGGUAAUACGUAGGGUGCGAGCGUUAAUCGGAAUUACUGGGCGUAAAGCGUGCGCAGGCGGUUGUGUAAGACAGGUGUGAAAUCCCCGGGCUUAACCUGGGAACUGCGCUUGUGACUGCACAGCUAGAGUACGGCAGAGGGGGGURGAAUUCCACGUGUAGCAGUGAAAUGCGUAGAGAUGUGGAGGAAYACCGAUGGCGAAGGCAGCCCCCUGGGCCUGUACUGACGCUCAUGCACGAAAGCGUGGGGAGCAAACAGGAUUAGAUACCCUGGUAGUCCACGCCCUAAACGAUGUCAACUAGUUGUUCGGAGAGGAAACUUUCUGAGUAACGCAGCUAACGCG
rnacentral:rRNA from 1 species